AUUCAAUAACUGAAAUAAGUUGUUCAACAAUUGUGUAAAAUUAUUCAGAUAACUAAUAUAAUUGUUCAACAACUAUCCUAGUUAUUCAAGUCUUAGUUUUCUCGAGGGACAAGUUUGUGUAACUCACUUGUUUUUUUUAAUUGGAAACUUGGAAGGGCCGGCUGACUUAUUUUUCUCUGUAAUACCCUCCUAUCUCGGUGUCAAUGUAAUUGCGGAAAAAGGGGCUUUUCAAUCUCGUCCUCUUCUUCAUCGCUAAGCUGCUUCUUCACCUCAGUUUAUCGGAAGUUGUACGGUUUGUUGUUGCUGCCGGCGUUGUAUCGGAAGUUGUACGGUUUAUUGUUGCUGCCGGCGUUGUUAAACUUCGACGAGAAAAAGGUAGUUGGUUCGGCCGUGGAAGCAAGCAAACUCUUACUGUGUGAGGCAACAACUACUGUCAUAGAAAGUGUUUCCAUCUGUUGGGACACACUACCUUCCCGAGGCCCCACUUGUGAGAUUACACUGGGUAUGUUGUUGUUUCUAUAGUCUGGACAAGAAAGAGGAAAAGUAGAAGGGUCAAAUGUGGGAUUUAACUUGGGUCGUGGGAGGUCUACAGGGACUAUUGUUAGACCUUCCUCUGGGGGUGCAAUUGGUGCUUCACCAUUUGAAAAUUCUGUUGCUGGAAAUUCAAGCGUCUUGACUGGCAUAUUUUGUUAUCCAAGGGGGAAAACUUUAUUAUACCGCAUGUAAAAGCAUGGUUCAUCUCUUUGUGGCAUGCCUGAAAAUAUGGAAGAAGCACCCCCGUCACUCAACUAAUUGCUAUGAAUCAUUAAAUUUUGUUGUUCCUGAUGCUGCGUAGGAGGUAAAUUAUCACUAUUACUACUAUUAUGGAGAUGUAAAGUGAAACUCUUUUGAACUGAAACUGAGGUCUCUGUGGCUCCAAUCUCUUUGGUUCUUCAGCAGUGCAGCAUGAAUUUAUUCCGCAAGCAAUUCUAGGCAUGAAUGUUAUUUGUCAAGCUAAUUCUGGAAUGGGCAAAACAGCUGUUUUUGUUCUUUCAACUCUGCAACAGAUUGAACCUGUUGCUGGUUAGGUUGUUGCCAUGGUUCUAUGUCACACAAGGGAAUUAGCUUAUUAGGCAUGUGUUGAGAUAUGCAAAUUUCUUUUUUCAGAAUUUCUUUCUGCUUCCCCCAUGUAGAAAGGUUUAUUUAUUUAUAUUUUUGGUGGGGUUCUUGGGUUUCUGCAGAUCUGUCAUGAAUUUGAGAGGUCUCAUAAUCCUAAGGCCAACAAUUGUAUUGAGCACAUAUAAGGGAAGGAGCCAUUCCCUGGAUGGAUUGAAGGAUUGUAGUAAUAACUGUACUCUUCCUUACCAAAGAACCGUGGAUACCUUCAUUGUUAAUUAUGGUAAAUGAAAGCUGAAUGUUGCAAUGGGUGACAGAGAAUCAAUAAUAACUGCACACUUGUGUUUA